AUGACAUUGCUGCCUGCACCACAAGUACUGGCACAGGAGAAGUUAAUCUGAAAACAAUGGAGCUGGAAGGGAGUGCUGAGGAAGAAUUCAGUCUUUCUACUCAAGGUCUCAAAGUAAGUGCCACCUGGGGCUGUUUCACCAAAAAAAAAACCAAACAAACAAACAAACAAAAAAACUUUCUACUCAAAGUAUUUGAAACACUGCAUCCAGAAGUACUGCCAUCGGGAGUAGUGCAUCCAGGACUUGGGCGCACAGCACAACGAAGACUUGGAACAGUUGGAGUGGGUCCAGAGGAGGGCUGUGAGGACGAUUACAGUGCUGAAGCAUUUCCCUUAUAAAGAAAGGGUGACUUGUUUAGCCUGGAAGAAUAGAAAACUUGGGGAGAACUCCCAGCUUUCAAGUACUUGAGUGGAGCUUAUAAGCAGGAGGGAGACCAGUUUUUUACAAGUUCUGAUAGUAAGAUAUCAAAAUAUAUAUCAGAAUAUCAAAAGAUAUGAUAAGACAAGGGGGAAUGUUUUUAAACUAAAACAGGAGAGAUUUACAUCAGAUAUUAGGGAGAAAUUUUUCAGUGAGAGGAGGUUGAGGCACUGGAACAGAUGGUCAAGAGAAGCUGCGGAUGCUCCAUUCCUGGAGGCAUUCAAGGUCAAGUUGGAUGGGGCCCUGGGCAGCCUGAGCUGGUGGGUGGCAACCCUGUCCACAGCAGGAGGGUUGGAACUGGAUGAGCUUUAAGAUCCCUUCCAACCAAAGCCAUUCUGUGAUCCUAUGAUUCUUCUCAUCUCAUUGGAUUCCAGAACUAAGAGAGAGCAUCAAAAAAGAAGACAAAGGGAUUUCUCAGAUAGUCAGAAAUGUUGCAAAACAGCAUAUCUAAAUGAAAUCACCUAGUCAGAAUAUAUAUUGACAAGAUAGAAGUACAGAUUUUACUUUCCCAGCACGUUUUCUAAAUGAAAAAAUUCAAGUCAGUAGAUAACCAAAAAAUAGAUGCUGUUUUCUGCAACAAACAAACAAACAAAUAAAUAAAUAAAUAAA
ensembl:lncRNA